CUCAUUAGCUUCUGGACAAUUUGAGAGUGCAAAGGCAUAAGGGAGCUUGACUGCGAGACCUACAAGUCGAGCAGGGACGAAAGUCGGACUUAGUGAUCCGGUGGUACCGCAUGGAAGGGCCAUCGCUCAA
rnacentral:ncRNA from 1 species